CCUGAUGCAGCAGUUUGGAAGCCAUCUUCUGCAAUCGAGUGUAUGGAAGAUGCACUGGUACAUAUAUGGCAUGGCCAGAGGAUAAAGUUAUCAUGGUUUGAGUUCAACAAACUAAUGUUAGUGUUGUGAGUAGAGCAUGCUAGCUACUUUGGUUCUUAACUUUGCUCUUGUAUACGAUACUGAUGUAUACAUGGUUGAUUGUUGCAGGGAAUGAAGAAAACUUGGUCCAGAUUAGCUAGUUUUACUUAGUUUAAAACUAGGCUAACUUUGCGUUUAGGCUUAUUAAGUGUAGUAUGGAUUCAGACCUUUACUUUAAGUCUACUUAUGUAACUUGGAUUGGG
rnacentral:lncRNA from 1 species